AUGAACGCUGGCGGCGUGCCUAAUACAUGCAAGUCGAGCGAACAGACGAGGAGCUUGCUCCUCUGACGUUAGCGGCGGCCGGGUGAGUAACACGUGGAUAACCUACCUAUAAGACUGGGAUAACUUCGGGAAACCGGAGCUAAUACCGGAUAAUAUAUUGAACCGCAUGUUUCAAUAGUGAAAGACGGUUUUGCUGUCACUUAUAGAUGGAUCCGCGCCGCAUUAGCUAGUUGGUAAGGUAACGGCUUACCAAGGCAACGAUGCGUAGCCGACCUGAGAGGGUGAUCGGCCACACUGGAACUGAGACACGGUCCAGACUCCUACGGGAGGCAGCAGUAGGGAAUCUUCCGCAAAGGGCGAAAGCUUGACGGAGCAACGCCGCGUGAGUGAUGAAGGUCUUCGGAUCGUAAAACUCUGUUAUUAGGGAAGAACAAAUGUGUAAGUAACUAUGCACGUCUUGACGGUACCUAAUCAGAAAGCCACGGCUAACUACGUG
rnacentral:rRNA from 1 species